AAGUCGUAACAAGGUUUCCGUAGGUGAACCUGCGGAAGGAUCAUUACCGAGUUAGAAGGAGAGGAUUAUCCCCCUUUUCCUUCGAACCUCCCAACCCUGUGUUAAACAAACCUAUAACGUGUUGCUUCGGUGGACCGGUGGUCCCGCCAGAUCGCCGCCGGGGCACUUCGGUCCCUGGAGAGAUUGUCCAUCGAACGCCCAACCUCCCAAAUUCAAACCACAAAUACCUAGAGGAUUUCGGUCCUCACCUUCUGAAUCAAACAUCGUUUUUGAUAUCUGAUCAAAAAUUAUAAACCAAAACUUUCAACAACGGAUCUCUUGGUUCUGGCAUCGAUGAAGAACGCAGCGAAAUGCGAUAAGUAAUGCGAAUUGCAGAAUUUCCGUGAGUCAUCGAAUCUUUGAACGCACAUUGCGCCCUUUGGCAUUCCGAAGGGCAUGCCUGUUCGAGCGUCAUUAUCCUCCCUCAAACCUCUUGGUUUGGCGUUGGACCACGUCGACUGUUCACACGGUCGACCGGUCUCAAAGACAAUGACGGCGUCCGGGGGACCCUCUUCGCACUGAGCUUCUUCGGAGCACGCGGGGAGUGUCAAGGUCCCCGGGGCCCGGUCACACCUAUUUACUUUUUCUAGGUUGACCUCGGAUCAGGUAGGAAUACCCGCUGAACUUAA
rnacentral:rRNA from 1 species